AGUGAACGCUGGCGGCGUGCCUAAUACAUGCAAGUCGAACGGAGAUUAAGUAGCUUGCUAUUUAAUCUUAGUGGCGCACGGGUGAGUAAUAUAUAGCUAAUCUGCCCUACACUAGAGGACAACAGUUGGAAACGACUGCUAAUACUCUAUACUCCUUCUUUACAUAAGUUAAGUCGGGAAAGUUUUUCGGUGUAGGAUGAGGCUAUAUCGUAUCAGCUAGUUGGUAGGGUAACGGCCUACCAAGGCUAUGACGCGUAACUGGUCUGAGAGGAUGAUCAGUCACACUGGAACUGAGACACGGUCCAGACUCCUACGGGAGGCAGCAGUAGGGAAUAUUGCUCAAUGGGGGAAACCCUGAAGCAGCAACGCCGCGUGGAGGAUGACACUUUUCGGAGCGUAAACUCCUUUUCUUGGGAAAGAAUUAUGACGGUACCCAAGGAAUAAGCACCGGCUAACUCCGUGCCAGCAGCCGCGGUAAUACGGAGGGUGCAAGCGUUACUCGGAAUCACUGGGCGUAAAGGACGCGUAGGCGGAUUAUCAAGUCUCUUGUGAAAUCUAACGGCUUAACCGUUAAACUGCUUGAGAAACUGAUAAUCUAGAGUAAGGGAGAGGCAGAUGGAAUUCUUGGUGUAGGGGUAAAAUCCGUAGAGAUCAAGAAGAAUACCCAUUGCGAAAGCGAUCUGCUGGAACUUAACUGACGCUAAUGCGUGAAAGCGUGGGGAGCAAACAGGAUUAGAUACCCUGGUAGUCCACGCCCUAAACGAUGUAUACUAGUUGUUGCUUCGCUAGUCGAGGCAGUAAUACACCUAACGGAUUAAGUAUACCGCCUGGGGAGUACGGUCGCAAGAUUAAAACUCAAAGGAAUAGACGGGGACCCGCACAAGCGGUGGAGCAUGUGGUUUAAUUCGAAGAUACGCGAAGAACCUUACCCGGACUUGAUAUCUAACAAAUCAUCCAGAGAUGGAAGAGUGUCUGCUUGCAGAAAUGUUAAGACAGGUGCUGCACGGCUGCCGUCAGCUCGUGUCGUGAGAUGUUGGGUUAAGUCCCGCAACGAGCGCAACCCACGUAUUUAGUUGCUAACGGUUAAGCCGAGCACUCUAAAUAGACUGCCUUCGUAAGGAGGAGGAAGGUGUGGACGACGUCAAGUCAUCAUGGCCCUUAUGUCCGGGGCGACACACGUGCUACAAUGGCGUAUACAAUAAGACGCAAUAUCGCGAGAUGGAGCAAAUCUAUAAAAUACGUCCCAGUUCGGAUUGGAGUCUGCAACUCGACUCCAUGAAGCCGGAAUCGCUAGUAAUCGUAGAUCAGCCAUGCUACGGUGAAUACGUUCCCGGGUCUUGUACUCACCGCCCGUCACACCAUGGGAGUUGAUUUCACUCGAAGCCCAAAUACCAAACCGGUUAUGGUCCACAGUGGAAUCAGCGACUGGGGUG
rnacentral:rRNA from 1 species